CGCGUGAGCAAUCUACCUUAGUUACUGGGAUAGCCCGAGGAAACUCGGAUUAAUACCGGAUAUUCUUAUUUUUCACAUGAAGUUUUAAGGAAAGGACAGCCGAACUAAGAUGAGCUCGCGUUCUAUCAGCUAGUUGGUGGGGUAAAAGCCUGCCAAGGCUACGACGGAUAGCUGGUCUGAGAGGAUGAUCAGCCACACUGGGACUGAGACACGGCCCAGACUCCUACGGGAGGCAGCAGUGGGGAAUAUUGCACAAUGGGCGCAAGCCUGAUGCAGCCAUGCCGCGUGUGUGAAGAAGGC
rnacentral:rRNA from 1 species